rnacentral:rRNA from 1 species
GACGAACGCUGGCGGCGUGCUUAACACAUGCAAGUCGAGCGGUAAGGCCCUUUCGGGGGUACGACGAGCGGCGAACGGGUGAGUAACACGUGGGUGACCUGCCCUUAGCUCUGGGAUAAGCCUGGGAAACGUGGGUCUAAUACCGGAUAUGACUCCAUAACGCAUGUUGUGGGGUGGAAAGCCUUGUGCGGCUAGGGAUGGGCCCGCGGCCUAUCAGCUUGUUGGUGGGGUGAUGGCCACCAAGGCGACGACGGGUAGCCGGCCUGAGAGGGCGACCGGCCACACUGGGACUGAGACACGGCCCAGACUCCUACGGGAGGCAGCAGUGGGGAAUCUUGCGCAAUGGGCGAAAGCCUGACGCAGCGACGCCGC